UACGAAGGGGGGCUAGCGUUGCUCGGAAUCACUGGGCGUAAAGCGCACGUAGGCGGCUUUCUAAGUCAGGGGUGAAAUCCUGGAGCUCAACUCCAGAACUGCCUUUGAUACUGGAGAGCUUGAGUCCGGAAGAGGUGAGUGGAACUCCGAGUGUAGAGGUGAAAUUCGUAGAUAUUCGGAAGAACACCAGUGGCGAAGGCGGCUCACUGGUCCGGUACUGACGCUGAUGCGCGAAAGCGUGGGGAG
rnacentral:rRNA from 1 species